rnacentral:rRNA from 1 species
UACGGGGGGGGCAAGCGUUGUUCGGAAUUACUGGGCGUAAAGGGCGCGUAGGCGGUUCGAUAAGUCAGCUGUGAAAGCCAUGGGCUUAACUCAUGGCCUGCAGUUGAGACUGUCGGGCUGGAGUGUGGGAGAGGAGAGUGGAAUUCCUGGUGUAGCGGUGAAAUGCGUAGAUAUCAGGAGGAACACCAAUGGCGAAGGCAGCUCGCUGGAACGGUACUGACGCUGAGGCGCGAAAGCGUGGGGAGCAAACAGG